ACUCCUACGGGAGGCAGCAGUGGGGAAUAUUGCACAAUGGGCGCAAGCCUGAUGCAGCGACGCCGCGUGGGGGAUGACGGCCUUCGGGUUGUAAACUCCUUUCGCUAGGGACGAAGCUUUUUGUGACGGUACCUAGAUAAGAAGCACCGGCUAACUACGUGCCAGCGGCCGCGGUAAUACGUAGGGUGCGAGCGUUGUCCGGAAUUACUGGGCGUAAAGGGCUCGUAGGUGGUUUGUCGCGUCGUCUGUGAAAUUCCGGGGCUUAACUCCGGGCGUGCAGGCGAUACGGGCAUAACUUGAGUACUGUAGGGGUAACUGGAAUUCCUGGUGUAGCGGUGAAAUGCGCAGAUAUCAGGAGGAACACCGAUGGCGAAGGCAGGUUACUGGGCAGUUACUGACGCUGAGGAGCGAAAGCAUGGGUAGCGAACAGGAUUAGAUACCCUGGUAGUCCAUGCCGUAAACGGUGGGCGCUAGGUGUGAGGGUCUUUUCACGACUUUCGUGCCGUAGCUAACGCAUUAAGCGCCCCGCCUGGGGAGUACGGCCGCAAGGCUAAAACUCAAAGGAAUUGACGGGGGCCCGCACAAGCGGCGGAGCAUGUGGAUUAAUUCGAUGCAACGCGAAGAACCCUUACCUGGGCUUGACAUACACCGGAUCGGG
rnacentral:rRNA from 1 species